GGCACCAUGGCUUAGCUGGCUAAAGCACCAGUCUAGUAAACAGGAGGUCCUGUGUUCAACUCCCAGUGGUGCAU